UACGGAGGGUGCGAGCGUUGUCCGGAAUCAUUGGGCGUAAAGGGCGCGUAGGUGGCCCGGUCAGUUCGUGGUGAAAGCGCGGGGCUCAACCCUGCGUCGGCCAUGAAUACUGCCGCGGCUGGAGCACUGUAGAGGCAGGCGGAAUUCCGGGUGUAGCGGUGGAAUGCGUAGAGAUCCGGAAGAACACCGGUGGCGAAGGCGGCCUGCUGGGCAGUUGCUGACACUGAGGCGCGACAGCGUGGGGAGCAACAGGAUAGAA
rnacentral:rRNA from 1 species